rnacentral:rRNA from 1 species
AUUGAACGCUGGCGGCAGGCUUAACACAUGCAAGUCGAGCGGAGAUGAGGUGCUUGCACCUUAUCUUAGCGGCGGACGGGUGAGUAAUGCUUAGGAAUCUGCCUAUUAGUGGGGGACAACAUUCCGAAAGGAAUGCUAAUACCGCAUACGCCCUACGGGGGAAAGCAGGGGAUCUUCGGACCUUGCGCUAAUAGAUGAGCCUAAGUCGGAUUAGCUAGUUGGUGGGGUAAAGGCCUACCAAGGCGACGAUCUGUAGCGGGUCUGAGGGGAUGGUCCGCCACACUGGGAAUGAGAAACGGCCCAGACUCCGACGGGAGGCAGCAGUGGGGAAUAUUGGACAAUGGGCGGAAGCCUGAUCUAGCCAUGCCGCGUGUGUGAAGAAGGCCUUUUGGUUGUAAAGCACUUUAAGCGAGGAGGAGGCUACCUGGAUUAAUACUCUAGGAUAGUGGACGUUACUCGCAGAAUAAGCACCGGCUAACUCUGUGCCAGCCGCCGCAGUAAUAC